AACGAACGCUGGCGGCAGGCUUAACACAUGCAAGUCGAACGCAUCCUUCGGGGUGAGUGGCAGACGGGUGAGUAACGCGUGGGAACGUGCCCUUCAGUUUGGGAUAAGCCAGGGAAACUUGGGCUAAUACCGGAUACGUGCGCGAGCUGAAAGAUUUAUCGCUGAAGGAUCGGCCCGCGUCUGAUUAGCUAGUUGGUGGGGUAAUGGCCUACCAAGGCUCCGAUCGGUAGCUGGUCUGCGAGGAUGGCCAGCCACACUGGGACUGAGACACGGCCCAGAAUCCUACGGGAGGCAGCAGUGGGGAAUAUUGGACAAUGGGGGAAACCCUGAUCCAGCCAUGCCGCGUGAGUGAUGAAGGCCUUAGGGUUGUAAAGCUCUUUCACCCACGACGAUGAUGACGGUAGUGGGAGAAGAAGCCCCGGCUAACUUCGUGCCAGCCGCCGCAGUAA
rnacentral:rRNA from 1 species